AUGGUUUCCUGUUUUCUGCUUCUCGGUGUGCAGUGCAGGACAGGCAGUAAUUUGGUGGGCAAAGCAGGGAAGGACAGGAAAGUGUUAUUGUCCACAACUGUCAGACAUGAGAUCGAUACAAUAGCUGCUUGUCGUUGGCAAGAAAAAAUGCAAGUCCAGGAAGUGCUAGGAGGAGAACAAAAUGAGAUUGGUACACACUGGUUCUUCAUAUGCCCUUUCCAACUAUGGAUUGUUACACGAUGGAGUUUGAGCUAUGUCCACAUUGGUUACUGCCUCCUCUCAAGUAGCUGGAUCAGACCUACUACCUGCCUCUCGCUGAACCUUGACUCAUCGCUCCUACAAAGUUGUUCCUCAUUCCAUCAUCUGUGGUUCUGUUUAUCUUCUCUGUUGCUGCAACCGGCUAAUUUAGCUCCUGAUUUUCUACUCCAACAGAUUUUCUAUCCACUGUUAUAUUCACCGGUUGUUUCUACUAUCUCCGAUCUAGAAGCACUUUCAUUGCUUGUCUAUCAUUUAUUCAGACUAGUGCCCUCACCAGAAGAGGAACAGUCCUACAAUUCGAUGACGGAAGUGGCCUUAGCUAUAGCUGGUUUAAGAUUGGCUGCAUUGCCGGUCUUGAAGAAGCUCCAUGCUAAUGCUUCAACAUAUCUUGGAGUGGACAUGGCGCGUGAGCUCCAUGAACUGGAGACCACAAUCUUGCCGCAGUUUGAGCUGUUGAUUGAAGCAGCAGACAAGGGAAACCACAGGCCCAAGUUGAACAAGUGGCUUCAGGAACUCAAAGAAGCAUUCUAUCUGGCUGAAGACUUGCUGAACGAGCAUGAGUACAACCUCCUUAAGCUCCAAGCAAAGGGGAAAUAUUCCUUGUCAGCCAAUGCCUCCAUCAAAAGCACUUUUAUGAAGCCUUUGCAUGCUGCAUCAAGCAGGAUGUCCAAUCUGAGCUCUGAGAACAGAAAGCUGAUUCAACAGCUGAAUGAACUGAAGGCUAUCCUAGCGAAAGCCAAGGACUUCCGUGAACUGCUCAGCUUACCAUCUGGUUAUAAUGCAGAGAGACCCAUCAUAUCAUCAGCUGCUGUUCCUGAGACCACAUCACUACCGCCUUUGAAAGUGAUUGGUCGUGACAAGGAUCGGGAUCAUAUAAUAGAUCUUCUUACCAAGACAACUGCCACUACCGAGUCUAGUACAGCUAUGUACUCAGGUUUAGCCAUUGUUGGAGCUGGAGGCAUGGGAAAGUCUACCUUGGCACAACUUAUUUACAAUGACAAGAGGGUAAAAGAAUAUUUUGAUGUGACAAUGUGGGUAAGCAUCUCACGCAAACUUGAUGUCCGCCGUCAUACACGAGAGAUCAUCGAGUCUGCCUCUCAGGGGGAAUGCCCACACAUUGAUAACCUUGAUACUCUGCAGCGCAAGUUGACAGACAUACUGCAAGAAUCAGGGAAAUUCCUACUUGUGUUGGAUGAUGUUUGGUUUGAACCUGACAGUGAGAGUGAUUGGGACCAACUGUUAGCUCCUCUAAUUUCCCAACAAAUGGGAAGCAAAGUUUUGGUAACUUCUCGACGGGAUACAUUUCCAGCUGCUCUUUGUUGUGAAGUGCGUCAUCUGGAAAACAUGGAAGAUGCUCAGUUCUUGGCACUCUUCAAACACCAUGCAUUCUCUGGACCAGAAAUCAAAAAUUCGCAGCUGCGUGAAAAACUCGAAGAUUUUGCAGAGAGGAUUGGUAAAAGACUUGGACAAUCCCCUUUGGCGGCAAAAGUUGUGGGUUCCCAGUUGAAAGGAAAAACAGACAUCACUGUAUGGAAGCAUGCUUUAACUAUAAACAUUGACAAGUUAAGUGAGCCCAUGAGAGCUCUGUUGUGGAGUUAUGAGAACUUAGAUCCACGUCUGCAGAGGUGCUUCCUCUAUUGUAGCUUGUUUCCAAAAGGCCAUAUAUAUGACAUUGGUGAGUUAGUUUAUCUUUGGAUGGCAGAGGGCCUUGUUGAUUCAUGCAACCAAAACAAGAGUGUGGAAGAUAUUGGAAAGGAUUGCUUCAAGGAGAUGAUCUCUGUAUCAUUCUUUCAACCCGAUUACAAUGAAUUCCCUGAUAUCCUUCCCACGUACUAUGUUAUGCAUGAUCUCCUUCAUGAUCUGGCGGAAUCACUCUCUAAAAAUGACUACUUCAGAUUGGAAGAUGAUAAGGUGACAGAAAUACCAUCUACUGUUCGACACCUAUCUGUUUGUGUUGAAAGUACGAAGCAACACAAGCAAAGUAUCUGCAAGCUACAUCAUUUACGCACUAUUAUCUGCAUAUACCCCCUGAUGGAUGAUGUCAGUGACCUUUUUAAUCAGAUACUGCGGAAUUUAAAGAAGUUGCGUGUACUAUGUUUGAAAUCUUACAACAGUAGUAAGUUGCCAGAAUCUGUUGGCGAGUUGAAGCACCUUCGGUAUUUGAACAUCAUCAGUACACUGAUUUCUGAAUUGCCAAAAUCACUGUGUACUCUUUACCACUUGCAGUUACUGCUGUUUAGUGCCAAAGUCGAGAGUUUCCCCAUCAAACUCUGCAAUUUAAGGAAGUUAACACAUCUUAAACGGGUUGGUGAAAGAAUAGGCGGCUUGAACAGUCCGAGACUGCCUCAAAUUCCUAACAUUGGCAAGCUAACUUUGCUUCAACAAUUUGAGGAAUUUUCUGUGCAAAAGAAAAAGGGAUAUGAGUUGCAACAGCUGAUGAACAUGAACGAGAUUCGUGACAGUUUACAUGUCACAAAUCUUGAGAAUGUCACUGGGAAGGAUCAAGCCUUAGAAUCAAAGCUGCAUCAGAAAAGGCAUCUUCGCAUCUUGCGACUUGCCUGGAGUUGUAAGAAUAACACAAAUGCAGAAGAUAGUUCACAUUUGGAGAUUCUAGAAGGUCUGAUGCCACCACCUCAACUUGGAGAUCUUAAAAUUGAAGGUUACAAAUCUUCAAAAUAUCCAGGCUGGUUACUUGAUAAUUCGUAUUUUGAGAACUUGGAAUCUUUAAGCUUCGAGCAUUGCAGUGCAUUACAAAGUCUACCAUCUAAUAUUGACCUGUUUGGGAAUUGCUCUUCACUUUUCCUCGGCAAUGUGCCAAACCUUAAGACAUUACCUUGUCUUCCACCAGGAUCAGAUAUUAGGAGAAUAAUCUCAUUGGAGCAUUCAAUUCUGAAGCAGCAGAUGACAUUGAUGCAUGCUGAUGUGUCACAUGUUCAAAACCUUGGAUCUGCUCUUCAGAGAGAGAAAUAUAAAGUAUUGAUAAAAGAGGAUAUAAUCAAGGCAUGGAUAUGCUGUCACCAGCAAAGGAUGAGACUCAUCUAUGGAAGGAGAAGUGGGAUGCCGCUGGUUCCACCAUCAGGACUUUGUCAGCUUAUUCUUUCCUCAUGCAGUGUUACAGAUGGAGCUUUAGCUGCUUGCCUUGAUGGCUUGGCUUCACUGACCAUGUUGGACUUAACAGCUCUUAUGACAUUAACUACACUUCCUUCAGAAGAGGUGCUCCAACAUUUGACAGAACUUAAGGAGUUAUCCAUCAGGUAUUGCUGGUGUCUCCGGUCAUUAGGGGGCUUACGAGCUGCUACCUCUCUUUCAGUUGUUACACUGAUUUCCUGCCCUUCUUUAGAAUUGGCACGUGGGGCAGAAUGCUUGCCAUUAUCCCUUGAGAGGCUCACUCUAGAGAGUUGUGUGCUUGCAGAUGACUUCCUUCGUGCUGACUGGCCACACAUGUAUGAUUUUGACAUAAGAUGUUGCAGAAGCACCGCAUGCUUGUCUGUUGACAAUCUCCCUUCUGUUAAAUCGUUCGUACUGAAUAAAUUGCCAGAUUUAUGUACGCUCGGAGGGUUGUCUUCUCUGCAACUUCGCAGUGUAUAUUUGAUUGAUGUUCCGAAGCUCACCCCCGAGUGUAUCUCACAGCUUCGAGUCCAGAAAUACCUCACUGUUAGCUGUCCUGUAAUACUCAACUACAUGCUCUCGGCUGAAGGUUUCACAGUUCCAGAAGUUUUCGCUCUUAAAGGAUGCAAAGAGCCAUUCGUUUCACUCGAAGAAUCCACGAAUUUCACAUCUAUCAAGGCCCUGGAAUUCUCUGGCUGUCAAAUGAUUUCCCUGCCAACAAAUUUGAAGUGCUUCUCCAGUCUGAAGACUCUCUACAUAGUUGAAUGCCCCAACAUAUCAUCUUUACCAGAUAUGCCAUCCUCCCUCCAGCAGAUACACAUAGAGGGUUGUUCGGAACUCUUGAAGGAGAGCUGCCGAGCACCUAAUGGAGAAAGCUGGGCAAAGAUCGCUCAUAUCCGCUGGAAGUACAUUAUUUAA
rnacentral:rRNA from 1 species